rnacentral:tRNA from 1 species
GGAGAGAUACCCAAGCAGGCUGAAGGGGAUGGUUUGCUAAACCAUUAGUAGGGGAAACCCUAGCGGGGGUUCGAAUCCCCCUCUCUCCGCCA